CAGGGUGGCUUCCACACUGCUUUCUGUCCUGGAGGACCUGCCGUGGACAAGGAGACAGGAUCAGGAACCACUGUCCAGAGCUGUGGUGCUCCGAGAGUCUUGGCAGCCCUGCAUGGGUCUCCUUUUCUGAGCUGACACUCCUGAGCCACUGCCAGGGAAGGCCUGGGGUGUGGUCCAGGCCCCCCACCCCUUGGUUCAUCUCUGCCCAAUCUGUAGCCUUUCUGGGAAUGUCACACAUGCAUGGGACUCUGCUGCAAAAGACACAGCAGAUCCUGUCCUACACACACAUGAGCCAGGCGCCAUAAAGCAAAGGAGCAGAGGGACUGGGGAGCGCUUGUUUCCAGCGGUCAUAAAUCUGCUCCGUGGAUGGGCUUCCCUGUCAUCCACUGUGUGCUUCCUGGUUUGUAUUUCCAAGACACUGACAAUCAGUUGGAACACUGCUCUGCAACGUUCUCCAGGUUGGAAUAAGGAAGACAAAGACUUCCCAGAGCUCCUAAGCACCAGAGGGCUUUCGGAUGACAGGAGUCUCCUAUAUCACAAGCAAAAUGGAAGCUUCCAGAGCACUUAGGAGCAGGGGCCUGCCUCUGCAAGGCAGGGUAGAAGCCUGUUUCAGCAAACAUCAGGAGUCCAAGGGGAGAAGGACAAGAGUAAAGGUCAGUUUCCAGCUGCAGAGAAUAAAUCAGCAGUGUUUCUGCACAGGCACACACGGGCAUGUUCAGGCACAACACCCACAGCCCACCCUGACUGUCUUCCUGGGCACAUACGGGUUGUCUGGUCACAACAACCCUUCAAGAUCGGAUGAGAAAAGAAAGAACGGUUCUGUCAUCUCUGCCCGCAGGUCACGCGGCCCCAUCACAGCGACGCUCACACUUGUCCACAAACACAAGCUCGGAGGCUGAAGGCAGAAAACACCAGUGAAAACCCUCUGGGUGCAGUGACCCUGUGGAGUCCAGGACCCCGGAACAUCCCCAGGAAUGAGCUAAACACACUGCUUACAUAACAAUGGGACUGUUCUUCAUAGCUGUGACAUCUUAGCCUCAAAUUAUGCUAAUAGGCUUUUUGAAAAUGCUGUUUUUGUUUUCAAAAUACUUUCUGAUGUGCUCUCUUCCUUUAGUUUCUUAAGGAUCCCAAUAGGUUAAGAAAGAGAAAUGAAUGCCUAGUCCACAGCAGAGACCCAGAGAGCCAAGGGGAAGUUCUAUGGAUCCUCUCUGCAUCCAGGUCCCAUUACCUGGCCCUCCCCUUGCACUGGCGCUCGGGUCCUGAACCCUCGGAGUAGAGACUGGUUCUAGGCCCUGACCUGAGUCACCAGUGCCAAACACCAGAGCCUUCCAGAGCUGGGCUGGGGCCGCAAGGACCAGAGCUUCCUCUGCACCAUCCUCUGCAGGCUGCUUGCUGCCUCCAGCCCAAGUGAGGGGAUCCAUGGGCUCCCCAGGCUCCUAAGUUGGCCAGGACCAGGGAGAAAUGACAUAGGACCCUCCAGAAGCCAUCUUCACCCUUGCUCUGACACCGAGGGUAGGUUUGUGCCCACCCUCUGCUCUGGGUUGCAGCUGUCACUGUCUUAUUUUGGGGAAUGAUUUCCAAGCCCACAGUUCCAACCGGAGCUCACUUCCCAAGCCUUUCCUCAGUGCUCCCCACCUAUGUUCUUGGGAGGCCUCCUCUGAACCCUGUGCUCAGAUGGAUGGAGAGCAGUCAUAACCUGGACGCCACACCAGCAGCCUUCUUCACAGCAUCCCUGGCCCCUGCCUCCGAUGCCUCCUUGCAGCCUGAACCCUCGGCUCCCUCCUAGCCAGCAAGCCCACGUCUGCAGCCUUGUGGCACCCCAAAGGAAGCCUCAAGUUCAGGAAAUAACCAUAAAUGACACAGCUAAAGACUGGCAGAAUGGCUUGACCCUGGUGAGCACUCCAGCUGCAAGACUGCAAGCUUCCCAAGGAGGACAGGGCUGCCAGAGAGGCAGGAGAAGAGCUUUUCAUCCCUCUUGAAGUCAGCUCCUGGCCUGCACCGAGCUGCCCUGGGCACUGGGCGGGGGAACGAAGGAAAGCAAGGCGUGCCAGUGCGCGGGCUGCCGGGCUGCUGCGUCCCAAGACACCUGAGUGCCGAGAGCGUGCGACGUGCUGCUGUCCUAAAUCCUGCCACAGGCAGCAAACAAAAGCAGGAAAAUGGCGGCCCAUCUGGCUGGGGUGUAGCUCAGAGAGAGCAUUUGCCUGGGUGUUUGAGCCUCAGAUUCAAUUCCUAGUGCCACAGCAGGAAAGGGAGGAGAGAAGGAAGGCAGAAAAGAAGGAGGGAAGAGAGAAGGGAGGGAGAAAAGAGGCAAGGAGGAGGAAGGAGGGGAAGACAUGACUACCAAACACCGGUCUCUGUGUGAAUAAUACAGCACGUCACCAGGCCGCUUAAGUCAGGACAGAUAUUCUUUAAGAUAAGCAGAGGAUACGCAUACUGCUCAUUUUAACUUCAUCCAUGAAAUAAUGUAUUUUGUACUCUUUUCUAAUUUCUUUUGGGGGAAAAAGUCUUGUUUCAUCUGCCCUGCUUUGCUCCUGUGCCUGCUUCUGCCGGCCGCCGGAUGUCUGGGUUUCACUUGCUGAUUUAGAUGCUCGGCUGACACAUUCAACCUUUUAAAUAAAUCAUUCAUUUUUUUAAA